rnacentral:hammerhead_ribozyme from 1 species
ACACUAACGAAGAGUCCCAGAUUAGGACGAAACAGCUGUCCAGUAC